GGUGAAGAUUGAAAUAAUUGGUUAGGUCAACAGGAGGAGAGACAGGUGCGAAGACAUUUAUCAUAAAAAGGAAAUCCCGAGAAUACAACAGAAAUAAACAUUCAGCAAGGAACAUAACAGCAAUAUGGAUAAUGAAGAAGGAUCGAAUGUCACAAUUCAUUUCAUAACGCAAGUUCUUGUUGCUGGCCAGAAGACUGUACGCCUAGAAAAUUCAACACAACGUAGAAAUGGAUUACACAAGUGGAAUACAUUUACCCAAGAAGCAAGGAAAUCGUGUAAAAGCAAGGAGAAAUGAAUGAAAAUCUCUAUAAAUUAUAUUUUGAUAGUAAAUAUAACUAUCAGGUAAAUAAAUAUAAAAGAAUUAAAGUAUAUAAGAUGUAACAAUCUUUGGUUUCCUAGAAAAUUUUGUUUAAAUUUAAUUGAGAAGAUGUCUUACUGCAUCCUUGAAGCUGAUGAUGAAUGAUGCUGAACGAGAAUGUGUUGAUAAGUUUCGAAUGACGUCUUUCAAUAAAGAGAUCGGUUGACAGAAAUGGAGAUGAGAAAACUUCUAGAUUUAGAAACUCUGUUUACAUUAAACUUAUUCGAUUAUAACUUUAUAAAAGUAUUCUAAUGUAUUUCUGUCAGUUUAUGAAGAAAUUAACAUGAUAAAGAGCUUGAAUAAAAUAUAUUAUUGAUUCUAAAUCGUUAAAAGAAAUCAUUUUUUAAACUAAUUUUGUACCGAGAUAACUUACUUAUAAGGUUAGUUACAGAAAACUGUAUCAUAAAUAAAGUUAACUUUUUAUUAUUUUUCUCUUAAUACAUUGCUAUAAAUCACAUCUGUAAUACCGUUUAAUUGUAUUUAAGUUAUAAUUUUACGUCAAAAUUGACUCAAUACAUUAAUAUUCUGUCGAGAAUACAACUCAAAAAGUUUAAAAUAUCAAGAGAUCGGUUGGAAGUAGGCCUACUUACAUAUUUAUUAUGUGAACUUUGAUAAAUUUUUAUGUGAUGAAAUUACAAUUUUUCAUAUAUAAAACAGUCUCUUUUUUAUUGAGUUUUAUAUCUUACAUGGAGCUUACUUUAUAUGUCAAACAUAGACGUGAG